rnacentral:tRNA from 1 species
GAGAGUUUAGCUCAUCUGGAUAGAGCGUUGGCCUCCGGAGCCAAAGGUGGUGGGUUCGAAUCCCAUAUCUCUCA